GGGGCUGAUUCUGGAUUCGACGGGAUUUGCGAAACCCAAGGUGCAUGCCGAGGGGCGGUUGGCCUCGUAAAAAGCCGCAAAAAAAUAGUCGCAAACGACGAAAUCUACGCUUUAGCAGCUUAAUAACCUGCUUAGAGCCCUCUCUCCCUAGCCUCCGCUCUUAGGACGGGGAUCAAGAGAGGUCAAACCCAAAAGAGAUCGCGCGGAUGCCCUGCCUGGGGUUGAAGCGUUAAAACGAAUCAGGCUAGUCUGGUAGUGGCGUGUCCGUCCGCAGGUGCCAGGCGAAUGUAAAGACUGACUAAGCAUGUAGUACCGAGGAUGUAGGAAUUUCGGACGCGGGUUCAACUCCCGCCAGCUCCACCA
rnacentral:tmRNA from 1 species